UUUUUGGCUAAAUAUCAUGAGAUUCUUAACUACCAAAAAUAUGUAUAUAGUAUAUAAGAGUUGAUGAUCGUAUUGCUCGGGACCAUUAAGGAUUUUAUCAGUAAUAUUCAAACUUGACAUUUAUCAAUUACUAGAGUUACCCUCCGUAUAUAUAUGACUAAAUUAGAGAGAGAGAGAGAGAGAGAGAGAAAAAAAAAAUCAAAUAUGACACCAAAAUAGUAAAUUUUAAAAAAUUUAAUUUUAUACAACAUUUAUCUUUGUACUACAAAAAGAGUAGUACAUUAAUAAAAUAAAAACUUUAAAAUUUCAUAAAAUUAAUUUUAGAAAAUCAAAAUUUGCAAAUGCAUGGGCUAAGUAAUCACUAAUCACAAUUGCUAUUGUGGUAAAGUUGUAGUUAUAGAUAUAGAUAUUGAUACAUGCAACAUUAUUAUUUUUUUAUAUAUUAUCUAUUUUCUUAUUUAUUUUAAUUUUUUUCAAUAAUAUUUAUUUAAUUUAUAAAAUAAUUAAGGUGUAUCUUUUCGUAAAAAUGACUAAUUCAAUUUUCGUCGAUUGUGAUUGAUUGUUAUUUUUUGUGAAUUUUUAAUGAAUAAAUUUCUAUAAUAUCUACUUUCUUAUUUAUUAUUAACUAAUUUCUAUUCUUAUUUUUAUAAUUAAUUAUAUCCAAUCAUGAAAAUUUAUAUAUUACUUCGUUAGAAGGAAUCUAAAUAUGAGUACAAUUGUAAAUGCUAUUUAACAACACAUUCUAACUAAAAAUGCGAAACUGAAAAUAUUGCCAAAAACAUGAGGAAAAAUUAAUUUUUAAAUAUUGCCAAAAACAUGAGGAAAAACUAAUUUUUACAUGACAACAUAUUCUAACUGAAAAUGUGCAAAUGAAAAUAUAACAAAAAAACAUACAAUUGUAAAUAUGACAACAUAUUCUAACUAAAAAUGUGAAACUAAAAUAGGAAAAACUAUUUUCGUUAGAAUAUAUGACAACAUGACAUAUUUAAUUAAAAAUAUAGUAAAAAAGAACAAGAUAUUUAAAUUUCUAUAUAUCUAAUUUCAAACCUAUCAUCAACAAAUUUCUAUAUCUAAUUUCUUAUACAUUAAUUAUAUCCCAAUCAUAUAUAUCUAAAANNNNNNNNNNNNNNNNNNNNNNNNNNNNNNNNNNNNNNNNNNNNNNNNNNNNNNNNNNNNNNNNNNNNNNNNNNNNNNNNNNNNNNNNNNNNNNNNNNNNNNNNNNNNNNNNNNNNNNNNNNNNNNNNNNNNNNNNNNNNNNNNNNNNNNNNNNNNNNNNNNNNNNNNNNNNNNNNNNNNNNNNNNNNNNNNNNNNAGUAAAAGACGAAAUAUAUCCAUCCUAAUGCUAUUAUGUAUAAAAAAGAAAACCUAAGAAACCCUUGAAAGUACAAAGAAACAGACUAAGGGCCGAGCCUCAUUAAAACCCUUUUACGGAAAACCCGGUAGGAAAAACCGUAGAAGGAAAAAAGAGUACUCGUCUAAAACGAAACAAAAAGGAAAGGAAAGAAGAGCGGGAAGGUCAGUUUUCAAGAACUCCGGCCUAACCAUCGUCCCAAACCGACCCGGCUCAAUGUAUAAGAAUUAGAUAUAGAAAUUUGUUGAUGAUAGGUUUGAAAUUAGAUAUAUAGAAAUUUAAAUAUCUUGUUCUUUUUUUGCUAUAUUUUUAAUUAAAAUAAAAUAGUUUUUCCUGUUUUAGUUUCACAUUUUUAGUUAGAAUAUGUUGUCAUAUUUACAAUUGUAUGUUUUUUUGUUAUAUUUUCAUUUGCACAUUUUCAGUUAGAAUAUGUUGUCAUGUAAAAAUUAGUUUUUCCUCAUGUUUUUGGCAAUAUUUAAAAAUUAAUUUUUCCUCAUGUUUUUGGCAAUAUUUUCAGUUUCGCAUUUUUAGUUAGAAUGUGUUGUUAAAUAGCAUUUACAAUUGUACUCAUAUUUAGAUUCCUUCUAACGAAGUAAUAUAUAAAUUUUCAUGAUUGGGAUAUAAUUAAUGUAUAAGAAAUUAGAUAUAGAAAUUUGUUGAUGAUAGGUUUGAAAUUAGAUACUAUAUAGAAAUUUAUUGAUUAAAAAUUUAGAAAAAAUAAGAAUGAAUGAGAAUGGAGGAAAAUUAGAAUAGAGUGAUUCUAUUACGCCACGUAGAAUAGAGUGAUCAACAUCACAAUUAUUAACAAAUUAUAGAUAGACUCAAAUUCUUAGAUAAAUCCUAUCAAAGGUAGAAUUCUUUGUCAAAUUCACAAUCUUAUAUUUCAUCUAUAAAAAGGAUCGGUUCUGCUUUCUUUCUCCUGUUCUGCUUUCUUUCUCCACUGCUCUACCGGUUGGUAAGUUGAAGUUUCUGCUCUCUUUCUAUGUAGAGGUAUUUAUUUAGCCCGUCGAAAUUCGUUGAUGUAUUUAUAAAGUGCGUAGAAUUGUGUGAAUCUGGUUUUAAUGGAAACAAGUAUAUUUUGUUGAUUUCUGGAGGCAGCAAAAUCUAUUGUUCUUACUAAUAUAGAUUGAUAAAUUGGGCAAGGAAGCACUUGAAAUGAUCGUGAUUGAUGAAUGGGUAAGUCUUAUCACAAUUUUAUUUAAUAAAUAGUUUUGUAAAGAUCAAUAAGUGUUGUAAUAUUAUAAUAAUUGGCAUCUGUAGAUCGAGAUUAGUCGUUUUUUAAAUUAGUGUGAAUGACUCGGAAAGUGGAGUCUUCUGUUUGUACCAGUGUGUCUCAAUACAUAUGCCACCAUAAAAGAAUAUUCCACUUUUUCAGGCAAAUGCUUCUGGUUCGGAUGCAGAAGAAACCAAAGAAUUUGCAGAGUGGAUACUUAAAAUAGGUGAUGGUACAGCCGGACAUAGUCUUGGUGAUGGAGAAUCUGUUGUGGCAUUAUCAGAAGAUAUCCUUAUACGCGAUGCAACAAAUCCUAUUGCAGCUAUAAUGGAAAACACAUAUAAUGACGUCAUGAAUAAUGCAUUUGAUCCAGAAAUGUUUAAGAAUAGAGCUAUCUUGGCCCCCACCAAUGAGAUGGUUGAUACGAUCAAUGAUUACGUCAUGUCUCUGAUGUCUACCAAGGAUAGGGUUUACCUAAGUUCAGACAGUAUUUGCAAAGAAGAUGGACAAGUGGAACUUGAUGAAUAGGUAUUCUCGGUUGAAUAUCUCAAUACAAUCAAAUGUUCAGGAUUACCGAGUCAUGAAAUUAAAUUGAAAGAAGGAUGCAUAAUAAUGCUUCUCAGAAAUAUUGAUCCAUCUAAUGAGCUUUGCUCUCAGAAAUAUUGAUCCAUCUAAUGAGCUUUGCAAUGGCACCAGACUGAUAGUAACUCAACUUGGGGAACGCGUAAUUGAAGGCAAACUCAUUUCAGGAAAAAAUACGGGCAAGAAGUUUCCCAUAGCUAGAAUGAUUAUGAGUCCAUCAGAUUUCGCUAAAUUUCCAAUUCGGUUUCAGAGAAGGCAAUUUCCUGUGAGUGUUUGUUUUGCUAUGACAAUAAAUAAAAGCCAGGGACAAUCUCUUUCAAAUGUAGGAUUAUACCUACCGAAACCAGUUUUUAGUCAUGGACAACUCUACGUGGCAAUCUCAAGAGUCACUAGAAAAAGAGGUUUAAAGAUUUUAGUAUGUGAUGAGAGUGGUCAUACGCAAGACACAACAACUAAUGUUGUGUAUGAUGAAAUUUUCGAUAGAUUAUGAGGUAAUUGCAAAUUUAAUAUUUUAUUCAAACUUUACAAAUUUUACGUCAUUAACGGUAUUAUUUAAAAUAUUUUUUUCUUAUAUUUUGCUAGGUUGAUUUGAUAUCUGCGUGCUGCUUGUGAUUGGAGGGAAGAAAGGUACAAUAAAUCACAUCAUAUUUUUUCAUGUUCAUAGAUAAAAUAUGUUAUAUAAGGAUGGUUGAGCCGGGUCGGUUUGGGGACGAUGGUUAGGCCGGAGUUCUUGAAACUGACCUUCCCGCUCUUCUUUCCUUUCCUUUUUGUUUUCGUUUUAGACGAGUACUCUUUUUUCCUUCUACGGUUUUUCCUACCGGGUUUUCCGUAAAAGGGUUUUAAUGAGGCUCGGCCCUUAGUCUGUUUCUUUUGUACUUUCAAGGGUUUCUUAGGUUUUUCUUUUCUUUUAUACAUAAUAGCAUUAGGAUGGAUAUAUUUCGUCUUUUACUGUAUCAUGUUUCGGCUUCAUACUUUGGUAUUUGCUUCUUCUUUUUUUGUUUUUUUUUGGAGGAGGAGACAGAAGUUGAUUUUUAAGCAUCGAAAAAUUCUAAAAUCAUCAUAAUCAGAUUGGAUUGGUGGAAGUGUCUAAAAUUAGUUUCCGAGUUCAGAGAAUUGUUUGACUAAAAAUAUAUUUAGUUAACAUCUUUUACUUUAAAACAAACUUAUUUAAUGCUUUAUUUUAGUGAAAAAAAUCAUCAAAUAAAAAAUGUAAUAAAUAAUUACAAAUAUUUAUAUAUUUUCAUUUAUUCCCGUCGAUUUUCGACGGGUUACCGACUAGUUUUAUUAAAACCGAUGGCACAUAAAAAAUGGGUAUUGAUUAUAUUUCAUAAAAAUGAAUAAUGAAAUUGUAGGAAAAAGAGAUAGAGAGAGAUAGAGAGAGUGAUAAAAGGAUCACACAACUAAUCCUUCAAUUUUAUUUUAUUUACAAAAUUUCCAUUAAUUUGAUUUGAAAUUAAUUUCAAAUUGAAUGUUGACCUUUUAAUAUACUAGUAUCGAUAUUACAAUUUUUUCAAAUUAUUUCAAUUUUAUGGAAUUUAACUCUAAUGAUUGACAUGGCUAGUGACGGUUCUAGACUUUUUAGUCAAUAAGGUCCAACUUACUAUAAAUUUAUAAUUUCAUAACAUGAUUUUUAAAUUAAUCAUAGUUGUAUAAUUUUAUAGAAAUAACAUAUUGAAAAAUUAGUUAAGUACCUCCUAGUAUUUUUCUCAUUUUUUGGGUUGGACAAGGUUCAUUAUUGUUGAAUAUAACUUUGUUAAAUUUGAACUUCAAUUCCUUAGAUGCAAUGAUACAAAAUUAAAAUACAUUUUUAAUUUAUAACGCAUUACAAAACAAGCAUCAAAUGUAAAAUGUGAUAGUAAUAACAUAAUACUUGUACACAAAUCUUAAAUGAGAACAAUUAAUUAUUAAAAUAAUAUUAGAUUUCGCUAUGAUAUUUUGCAUCAUUAUCAUUUUACUAUGAAAUUUUAUACCAAUAAUGAUCAAAGUAAUACCAACUUAACCUUAUAUAUACCAGGCAAAGAAUAACAUUACAAUACUUCAGAAAAUAUAUACAUUUUUUAAUUAUUAAAUCUAAAAUACAGAUAGAUACCUAAAUAUUUUGCAAAUUCCAGUAGAGCCCCAUUGCCCCCACAGCCCACUAGCCACAAUCUAGGUCCGGCCAUGGACAUGGCACACUGGAAAGUAACCUAAAAAUUCUAUAACCUAAAUGCCUCUCUAGUCGCAACAUAUUUACCGGAGUCAAUUUUUGAGAUGGCCGUCAUAUUGAGCAAUGAACCUCAAUAUUUGGACUCAUAUCUAAAAAAUAUAAAUUUUGGCUAUUUUUUUAUAUUUUAAGAUUGUUUUGUCUUUAAUUUGGGCGGACCGGAUUCCGAUUUGCGUGCAAGUUGAGUUUCGAAAUCGAGUUGGGGUGCGCGGAUUAUGAUGGUACAGUUGGUACAAAUGGGUGGUAAAUUCGUGCCAAUUGUGUCAUUUAUUAGAUAUAUUUGGCACAAUUAUGCACAUUUGUGUCAAAUGUGACUGAAGUUGAAUGAUGGUACAACCGGUACAAAUAGGUAAAUUCGUGUCAAUUAUAUUAUUCAUUAGGUACACUUGGCAUAAUUAUGCUCAUUUGUGCCAGGAGAGGGGGGAGAGAGACAUGGGAGAAUCGCGUGUAUGGGUUGGGUUGGGUAGAGUAGGAUCCGCAAGAUCAAGAGUACGUAUUUUGGAUUGAAAUUGUAAAAAAUUGUCAUAAUUUGUGUUUUUUCAGAUGAGUGACCGAAAAUUGAAUUGCAUUGCUUAAUAUGACUAUAUGACUGUGUAUUCUCUAUUUACUAUUUAAAUUUCUUGGGUUUGUUUGAAAAAGGUAAAUUUAAAGCUGAAUGGUUAUAAGAUCAUGUUCACCCUUAACUUCAAACCGUGCUACCUUAUCUGAAAUAUUUAAUUUUUUCGUAUAAAGUAUUCCAUUUCCGAUGCUUCUCCUACGAUUUUUUUUCAAAUUAAAACAUAAACCGUUGAAAUAUUUUUGUGAAUAAUGGAAAGUCGCAAGUCUAUCUGAAUAAUUCAAUAAAGAUGUCCCCAACUAGGAAACUGACAUUCUUGUUAGUGAUAAGUCUGAAAAAAAAAGGGGGAAAAAGAAAAGAAGAAGUCUGAAAAAUUAGUCAGCAACAUGUGCCUUUAGUUCAUGAUAAGGUUAUAUACUGAAAAUGAUUGAACGCGUUGAAGCACUUUUGCUUACCAAUUUUUUAAUUAUAAAUUACACUCUUCUAAUCCUCAAUACAUAUUCAGAUUAGGAGUCUCUGUGUCGACUAAUUGUCUUCUUAAUGACCUCUAGCACCCAUUAUAAUAUAUUGGGUUUUGCUAAUAUGAAAAGGUCCAAACAUUUUAUAUUGCCUUAUCUAUAGUUAGUUUAUUUCUUAUUUACAACAAGCUCAUUAUCUUAAUGGUGUGUUAAUCACAUGAGCAUCCCAAAUUGGUGAACAAAUUUUAUUAAUGAUUAGUGUGAAAGUAUACCAUUUCUUGAAAAAAAAAAUUGCAACAAUGAUAUUUUACCUUAUCAAUUCGGAUAAGAAAAAAUAGGAUAUUGAGCAAGUAUAUCCAUAUUUAUUAUACUUUUUGUAUGACAAAUUCUUUCCAAAAAUCUUAAGAAUAAUAUAUAGAGAACCCAGUCAAUGUCUGAUUAAGACCCAAUAUAAUUCGUAAUUUUCCAAUAGCAUUUAUCGUUUAUAAUAAAUAUGGGAAAUGGAUAUGGACAUAUGGGGUGCCAUGUCAUGUCGAUAUGGAACCAAUGGCAAGAAAUGUUUCAUGUGCUUCUUGCUAGGGUAGGUGGUCAAUCCCAUGUUUAUUCCACCUCCCUCCUUCCUUUUUUUUUAUGAUUUAAUAUUUAUCUCUUACUUGAUUUCUAUAUUCAUUGUCAACAACUAUUUGAAAUCUCAUUUCUAAAGUAUUAUAUCUAUACUAUUCUCAUGACUAGUAGUAUAAAAUAAUCUUUAUAUAUACAUAUAUAUCAAUAUGUAAGUAAUAUAAAAUAUUUAUUUUUUAAAAAUUUAAGAUAAAAUUUAUCUUUUUCUGUAUAUAUACUUACCAUUCAAAUCCAAUACUUUUAUGUGUGUCACACAUAUAUAUUAUGUCUGUGACGAUAAAAAAUAUAAAGUACUAUACAAUUAGCACGAUUGUAAAAGGAUAGAGUAUGUUGUACAAUAUAAUUUAUAAUAAAGAAUCAAACCACCAAUACUUAGAAUUUUGUAAUAUUAUAUAAAUGAUCCUAUAUUAUUUGCAAUUAAAGAUUGUGGUGUGGAGGAUUAGCAAUAGGUACAUGUGUUUUAUUAGUUUAAUGUUAUACAUGUAAGGUGGGGAUGAAGACGGUGACUAGGAUGUGGAUGCCCUCCUAAUACUAUUGAACUUAUCUAUGCCCAAAGUAGGGCAAAAUCCCAAAGUCAAGAAUUCAUUUCAAACCAUACGAGAAGAUAAUGGCGAAUCUAAAGAUAAGGCAAAAAAAAAGUAAGGCAAAUAAACAUUUGGUCUAAAAUUAUCAAACUAGAGGGCCCCUCUAAACUCACCUCAUGUUUCUCUAAUCUAACCGUGCAAUCCCCAAUCACAAAUUGACACGUUCCACGUCGGUACCAAUCCACACAGCUGCGCCGCUGGAUGGCGUCCACGUGUCGCAUUCCCAGCGUGGGAAACAUGGGAUUUUCCAUGCACCCUAAGGUGAUGGGAUACCUUUUUUGCUCCAGAAGGAAAAGCAGCCUAAUCCACUCAUUUUACAUGCCCAUAUAUAUGUUUGAUUUAAUUGGUCCAAGAAAUUCAUGUUGUUCAAGUAUUUGAGAAGACUAUAUAUAUCUACCCACUGCAGAAAAGAGUUUCUUGAGAUCCCUUUAAUCUGUUUCUUGAUAAUUUUUUCUUGAUUUGAUUUUAUUUUUGUGUAAUCUGUCGAAGAUGGAAGGAGGGAAAAGCCAUCAUCAUCAUAUGUUUCAAGAUUCAUGGUUUCAAUAUAAAGGUAACAACUUGAAGAAUGAAGAAAGAUUUGAAUCAUUAUCAGCUACUUCAUCUUCAUCUAUUGGAGAAGAUUCAGAUGCUUCAAAUGGAUCAUCCAUAACUUCAUCUGAUACAGUAGAUGAUGUGUCAUCAUCUUCUUCAUCGUCAUCGUUGAACUCCAGCUGCAGCGGAGCUCUAUAUGAUCUUUCAGAGAUCAUGGACCAAUUGCCCAUCAAGUAAGUGAAACUUCGAUUUUUUUUUUGUUUUUUGGAUCUUAUAUUUUAUGUGGAGACUAAAUGAGAUGAAAUGAUUUGGUGUGUGCAGAAGAGGGCUUUCCCAGUUUUACAAAGGGAAAUCAGAGUCGUUCACAUCACUUUCAAGGGUGGCAAGCAUUGAAGAUCUGAUGAAGAAAGCAGCAACUCCAUAUAGAAGAAAUUUGAAGGCUUCCAAGAGCUGUGGAACUGGUUUGCAUAGCUACAAGCAGUAUACUCUACCUAAGGCCACCAUAUCAAAGAAGGCUUCAAGGGGUGUUUCUCUCUCAUCAUUUCCAACUAAGAGAGGGGGUGUUAUGAACACCAAGCCCCCUCUCACCCCUCUUCACCAGGAUUUGGAAUGUUGAAGAAAAAGUUUUACAUAACAUCCACACACACACAUGAGAGAGAGAGAAAGAGUUGUAUAUAAGCAAUUUUGUGAUCAUAUUCUAUUUUCUUUCAUUGUUCAUAGGCACAA
rnacentral:lncRNA from 1 species